UAGGUGAACCUGCGGAAGGAUCAUUGAAUUAUUAAAACCACAAUGCGAACCUAUCUGUUCCGUGCCUUAGCUGCCAGCAAGGCAAUUGGCUUGCCCAAUUGUACUUGCAAGCUGGUGCGAGUAAUUUGAUUACUUGCAUCAGUGGCGCUUUGGCAUGCUUAUACACCAGUGCUAACCACUGUCAAAACCAAACUCUGAAGCUUUGAUUGCUAUUAACUGGCAAUCUUAACCAAAGACAACUCUCAACAACGGAUAUCUUGGCUCUCGCAACGAUGAAGAACGCAGCGAAAUGCGAUACGUAGUGUGAAUUGCAGAAUUCCGUGAACCAUCGAAUCUUUGAACGCAUAUUGCGCUCGAGCCCUCGGGCAAGAGCAUGUCUGCCUCAGCGUCGGUUUAUACCCUCACCCCUCUCUCCUUUUGGAGGGCUGGUCAGCUUCUAGUUGGCCUCAGGGGUGGAUCUGGCUUUCCCAAUUGGUUCACUCCGAUUGGGUUGGCUGAAGCUUAGAGGCUUAAGCAAGGACCCGAUAUGGGCUUCAACUGGAUAGGUAGCACCGGCUUCUGCCGACUACACGAAGUUGUGGCUUGUGGACUUUGCUAGAGGCCAAGCAGGAAACAUGCUUUGCAUGUCUUAAACUUUCGACCUGAGCUCAGGCAAGGCUACCCGCUGAACUUAAGCAUAUCAAUAA
rnacentral:misc_RNA from 1 species